rnacentral:lncRNA from 1 species
GGUGGUGAGCUUUCUGACAAAAACAAAGAGAUAGUACCUGAGGAUCAAGAAUCGGAGUACUCGGAAUUCGACUCCCGAAAUAGUGAGUAACCUUAUCAUCAUCUUGAUUAUCUGAAGUGAAUUUUAAUUCGUUUUUGUGAUUUUAUGGAAAAUGAGUUUAAAUGGUAAAUCUUUAUGUUUUAUAAACAAAAUGUGUUUAAAUGAAAUGAUUUUAUAAAAUUGUCUUAAAAUUGAAAGAUGGUUUUGAAAAUGGAGUAAUUGGAGACUAAUUGUUGUGUUAUAAAUCACGGUUUGAAUUGAUUGGCUUAUGAUAAUAAUUGCAUGAAUGGCUGAAUUGGUAUUUGUGUUGAAAAUGUAUGAACUGUUAAUUUGCCUUAAGAGGCUAUAAAAUAAAAUAAUUGCCAUGUCAUAUUGUUAAAUUUUAUUGAAUUGGUGGAUUAUAUAUUUGUCACUACAGUGGACGGGUUCCGUGGACUAGCCUAUUAGAGGGGCACGAUAACCCUAUUAUAUUCAUACCUCAGUAUGAGAGGCGCGGUUGAAUAACUCUUGAGGUUAAAACUUUAGAGUUCACUUCACGCCAAACCACCACGUGAGGGUGAACUCAACCAACGCCAAGGAACGACUAUGUUUUCAAUAAAAAAAACAUGAUUUAUGCGUACAUGACUUUUUAACAGCCUUGACGGACUCGGUUGGGAUAGCCCUCGGCCAAGGUAUCCUUGAUAAUUGAGUAUGAGAAUGAUUUUUGCACGAGCCAAACUUUUCAGGAAAUCAUAAGCCUCGUUGUUUAUUUUGGUGAAAUGUAUCUAUUUUAUCUUAUUAAAAUGAGUUAGAAAUGUUGGGAAUCAUUUUUAUGCUAAUCUAUUUUAUUUGUCUCCAUUUACUCAGCUUUAGAUAUUUUAGAUGGUAUUUGUUUACUCACUGGGAUUAUAUAAUCUCACCACCCUCCUUUUCACCCCUUUCAG